rnacentral:rRNA from 1 species
UACGGAAUGUGCAAACGUUAUUCGGAAUCACUGGGCUUAAAGAGUCCGUAGGCGGCAUGUUAGGUGAGGUGUGAAAUCCCCCGGCUCAACCGGGGAAUUGCGCUUCAAACCGGCGUGCUUGAGGAAGAUAGAGGUGGGCGGAACUGAUGGUGGAGCGGUGAAAUGCGUUGAUAUCAUCAGGAACACCGGAGGCGAAAGCGGCCCACUGGGUCUUAUCUGACGCUGAGGGACGAAAGCUAGGGGAGCGAACGGG